rnacentral:rRNA from 1 species
ACGCUCGACACCUACGGGAGGCAGCAGUGGGGAAUAUUGCACAAUGGGCGAAAGCCUGAUGCAGCAACGCCGCGUGAGCGAAGAAGGCCUUGGGUCGUAAAGCUCUGUCCUCAAGGAAGAUAAUGACGGUACUUGAGGAGGAAGCCCGGCUAACUACGUGCCAGAAGCCGCGGUAAUCUGAGCGGGCUGGCAAGGC